AUUGAACGCUGGCGGCAUGCCUUACACAUGCCAGUCGAACGGUAACAGGUUAAGCUGCCGAGUGGCGAACGGGUGAGUAAUGUAUCGGAACGUGCUCAGUCGUGGGGGAUAACUGCUCGAAAGAGCAGCUAAUACCGCAUACGACCUGAGGGUGAAAGCGGGGGCUCGCAAGACCUCGCGCGAUUGGAGCGGCCGAUAUCCGAUUAGGUAGUUGGUGAGGUAAAGGCUCACCAAGCCGACGAUCUGUAGCUGGUCUGAGAGGACGACCAGCCACACUGGGACUGAGACACGGCCCAGACUCCUACGGGAGGCAGCAGUAGGGAAUUUUGGACAAUGGGCGCAAGCCUGAUCCAGCCAUGCCGCGUGCGGGAAGAAGGCCUUCGGGUUGUAAAACGCUUUUGUCAGGGAAGAAAAGGUUCUGGCUAAUACCUGGGACUCAUGACGGUACCUGAAGAAUAAGCACCGGCUAACUACGUG
rnacentral:rRNA from 1 species